rnacentral:rRNA from 1 species
UUUAAAUUGAGAGUUUGAUCCUGGCUCAGGAUGAACGCUGGCGGCGUGCUUAACACAUGCAAGUCGAGCGAGGGAGCACCUUCGGGUGUGAACUAGCGGCGGACGGGUGAGUAACACGUGGGCAACCUGCCUUACAGAGGGGGAUAGCCUUCCGAAAGGAAGAUUAAUACCGCAUAUUAUGAUUUUUCUGCAUG